CCCUUAGAUGUCCUGGGCCGCACGCGCGCUACACUGAUGCAUGCAACGAGUUUAUAACCUUGGCCUGAAAGGUCUGGGUAAUCUUUUGAACGUGCAUCGUGAUAGGGAUAGAUUAUUGCAAUUGUUAAUCUUGAACGAGGAAUUCCUAGUAAACGCGAGUCAUCAGCUCGCAUUGAUUACGUCCCUGCCCUUUGUACACACCGCCCGUCGCACCUACCGAUUGAAUGGUUCGGUGAAGACCUCGGACUUCGAUAUUUAUUCUUUAUUGAGUUUAUAUUGUGGGAAGUUAUCUAAACCUCAUCAUUUAGAGGAAGGUGAAGUCGUAACA
rnacentral:rRNA from 1 species